rnacentral:lncRNA from 1 species
CCAUAUUUAGGGUUUUUAAGCUUUCAAGCUCCAUAGUAAGUGAUUCCAAGCCCCGUUUUUAAUGUUCUUCGUAUUUUUGGAGUCCCGGUAACUUGGUUUAGCUUAUUCUACCAUUAAUUCGUGUUAGGGUUCAUAUUUGGAAAAAUACCCAUAUGUGAAAUGUGUUUAUUUUGCUGUUUUAUGGUGGAAUAUGAAGCUAGAGAUUAUGUUAAACAACUUUUGCUAAGCAAUUUUAAGCGAAAACGGGUAAAUAGACAUAAUCGGUAAAAAUAAUUAAUAUUCAAAAGUAUGUGUUGGAGUGGGAAUAUGAUGUUGCCAUAGAAGGGAAAAAUGUUCAGCAUGUUAUAAAACUUAAGAAUAAGUGAUGAAGUUUAAUUUCCGAGCUUGGGGACAAAAGUGUAAUUAUGCAAAAGUUUGGGGGCAAAAUUGUAAUUUUUCAAAAAGUUGGGUGGUGGAUUAUUUUAAUAAAUUUGAAUAUUAAACGAGUUAAAUUUGCUAUUAUAGAUCAAGAAAGACGUGAAGAGUAUAUCAAACGAGGAAAAGAAAAGAUAGUGGAGUAAAGUGCAAAAUUACGAUAUUUUACACCGAGGUAAGUGAACACGUGACUUAAUGUAUUAUUUUGAUAUUAUUUGAUAUAUGUUGAGAUUUAUUUGGAAUUAAAAUAAAUGUUUGGCAAUAUCCUAAAAAUGUUGUUAAAUCGGGAAAGGUGAUAAAGGGUUGCAAUAUAUGGUUUAUGGGUUGAACACUCGGAAUAAGCCGGAGUAUGUUGUAUAUAAAAGGGGUUGCUGUGUGCUGAUUCCCCGAUUCAUUGGUGGUGCUAUGUGCGUGAUCCACCAUAUCUUUGAAAUGUGAAAGGGGGUUGCUAUGUGCUGAUUCCCCCGAGGGGUUGCUAAGUGCUGAUUCCCCGAUUUCAUUGGUGGUGCUAAGUGCGAUAUCCACCGUAUCUUUGAAAUGAAAAGGGGGUUGCUAUGUGCUGAUUCCCCCGAGGGGUUGCUAAGUGCUGAUUCCCCGAUUCAUUGGUGAUGCUAAGUGCGAUAUCCACCGUAUCUUUGAAAUGAAAAAGGGGGUUGCUAUCUGCUGAUUCCCCCGAGGGGUUGCUAAGUGCUGAUUCCCCGAUUCAGUGGUGGUGCUAAGUGCGGGAUCCACCGAUAACGGUUAACAUUCUGAGUGUUCAACGAAAAAGUGUGGAAGGUGAAUAUUGCCAUAUGGUGGAAAAUUUUAUGGGGUAAAUAUUGAGUUGAAUACUAAAUCGACUCAUGUAUGAGAUGGGAGAAAAUAUCAAAAACGCAAAAGGAACGAUUUAAUUAUAAACUGUGUUGAACAACAGCAAUUGGGUAAUUUUGAAAAAAUCACCAUAAAUUGUGGAAAAUGAAUGGGAAGCUGAAUAAUAUAUGAAAUUGAAGUUGAAUGUAUCUAUUCUCAUAUGAAAGAAAUAGAAUAAGCAAAAGAGUUGUAUUUUUGGAGAUAUCUGAAUUUUACUGAAACAGGGCUGGAUUGAUUUCGAGAUCCCCUGUUCUAACUUUUGAAAAUUACCAAAAAUUGUAAAAAAAUAAUUAUGGCAUGAAAUUUAUGUCCCUGGAAUCCUUAUUGAGUCUAUUUUUAUUAGAAACAAUCGAAACUAUUUUUCAAAUUUUGUACAGAGAAUUAAGUGAAUUUUAGUGAGGAAGGGUCAGAACCGUUGGGCAGUGAAACAGGGGAAGGUUUAAUGAAUAAACUGUACUAAUUUGCUGGGUCAAAAAUUCUGAAUUUUUUAUGGUGAAAUGGUAUAUGAGUCUAGUUUUAGGAAAAAUUUACGGAACUCAAUUUGGAGCCCUGUAGCUCCAGAUAAAAAUAAAUUAGCGACUAUGACGCAGAAAAACAGCUUGCUGGAAAUUGCCUAAACAAUAAAGUUAUUCAUGAAUAAGUUUAUAUUUUGGUGUAGUUAUGGGAGUAAUUACUUAUUUAUCAUGUGUUUACUUACUAAGCUAUAUGCUUACUCGAUUUUAUUUUUCUCUUGAUUAUAGUGACUUCCAACAACUCGGAAAUUGGAACGAAGUCGACAAUCAUCUACACUAUCCUUCACAUUUGGGGUAUUUUACUACUAGUGUUCCGAAAUUUUAUGGCAUUUAUAGACGACUUAUGUAAUGUGGGAUCAUCAUGUAAAUAUAUGUUAUGGUUCCCUUUUAAAUGUAG